ACGGGAGGCAGCAGUGAGGAAUAUUGGUCAAUGGGCGAGAGCCUGAACCAGCCAAGUAGCGUGCAGGAUGACGGCCCUAUGGGUUGUAAACUUCUUUUGUGGUGGAGCAAUAAGGUGCACGUGUGCAUCGAUGAGAGUACAUCACGAAUAAGCAUCGGCUAACUCCGUGCCAGCAGCCGCGGUAAUACGGAGGAUGCAAGCGUUAUCCGGAUUUAUUGGGUUUAAAGGGUGCGUAGGCUGUUCUUCAAGUCAGAGGUGAAAUACCCGAGCCUAACUCGGGAACUGCCUUUGAUACUGGAGGGCUUGAAUACUGUUGCCGUGGGAGGAAUGAGUAGUGUAGCGGUGAAAUGCAUAGAUAUUACUCAGAACACCGAUUGCGAAGGCAUCUCACGAAGCAGCGAUUGACGCUGAGGCACGAAAGCGUGGGGAUCAAACAGGAUUAGAUACCCUGGUA
rnacentral:rRNA from 1 species